rnacentral:rRNA from 1 species
GACGAACGCUGGCGGCGUGCUUAACACAUGCAAGUCGAGCGGUAAGGCCCUUUCGGGGGUACACGAGCGGCGAACGGGUGAGUAACACGUGGGUGACCUGCCCUCAGCUCUGGGAUAAGCCUGGGAAACCGGGUCUAAUACCGGAUAUGACUCCAUGACGCAUGUUGUGGGGUGGAAAGCCUUGUGCGGCUGAGGAUGGGCCCGCGGCCUAUCAGCUUGUUGGUGGGGUGAUGGCCUACCAAGGCGACGACGGGUAGCCGGCCUGAGAGGCGACCGGCCACACUGGGACUGAGACACGGCCCCAGACUCCUACGGGAGGCAGCAGUGGGGAAUCUUGCGCAAUGGGCGAAAAGCCUGACGCAGCGACGCCGCGUGAGGGAUGACGGCCU